rnacentral:rRNA from 1 species
GCCGGAGGAGGCAAUCGUUAUCCGGAAUUAUUGGGCGUAAAGGGUACGUAGGCGGCUGGUCAAGUCUGGGGUCAAAGGCCACAGCUCAACUGUGGGAAGGCCCUGGAAACUGACCGGCUAGAGUGAGGUAGGGGUUGCGGGAAUUCCCGGUGUAGCGGUGAAAUGUGUAGAGAUCGAGAAGAACACCUGAGGCGGAAGCGCGCAACUGGGCCUCAACUGACGCUGAGGUACGAAAGCUAGGGGAGCGAAUGGG